UACGAAGGGGGCUAGCGUUGCUCGGAAUUACUGGGCGUAAAGGGCGCGUAGGCGGAUAUCUAAGUUGGGGGUGAAAUCCCGGGGCUCAACCUCGGAACUGCCUUUGAUACUGGAGAUCUUGAGUCCGGAAGAGGUAAGUGGAACUGCGAGUGUAGAGGUGAAAUUCGUAGAUAUUCGCAAGAACACCAGUGGCGAAGGCGGCUUACUGGUCCGGAACUGACGCUGAGGUGCGAAAGCGUGGGGAGCAAACAGG
rnacentral:rRNA from 1 species